rnacentral:rRNA from 1 species
UACGUAGGGUGCAAGCGUUGUCCGGAAUUAUUGGGCGUAAAGAGCUCGUAGGCGGUUUGUUGCGUCGGCUGUGAAAUCCCGAGGCUCAACCUCGGGUCUGCAGUCGAUACGAGCAAACUAGAGUGUUGCAGGGGAGACUGGAAUUCCUGGUGUAGCGGUGAAAUGCGCAGAUAUCAGGAGGAACACCGGUGGCGAAGGCGGGUCUCUGGGCAACAACUUACGCUGAGG